AUGCAAGCUCCACGGGGGACCUUUGAUCAGACCCUUUUGCUAGUACAAUGCUACGGAACUGUGACUAUGCCUGCUUUACCCAGGAGAUGCUGAGGUCUCCCCUUCUGUGGUGCUGCUUCUUUACUUGAGGGGAAAACUCUUGGACUAGAAACUUUGGAAGUGGAGCGGGACAAGACCAUUCCUAACACACUGUGCAGCACGGACGGAGUAGGUGCUCAACAAAUGCCGGGAGUGAGGAACGAAUAAAAAGUGAAGAGCACGAUGGGCUAUUUCUUGACCAUAUUAAAAACAGGCUGCAGAUAAUAAAA
rnacentral:lncRNA from 1 species